CUUCCCGGUCUGAGGGGGGCCAAUUCUGCGGGGCGUUCGCCCCCGCUAGAGAGAGGUGGCGGGGUCCCCGGACGCCACCUCAGGGGGCCAGCCCCUGGGCAGAGGAACGGUCUUCUAAAGCCUCCGAACUGACAGAGGAGUCCGAGGAAAUGUUGGCAGCCCCUUUCCCCCACGGUUGUUUUGAGAUGGAGGAAAAAGCUUUUAUUGCAAUAGAAUCCCUUUAGAGGAGGGCCGGGUGUUCUCCCAGGCCCGGAUCCCAGCGGGAGAGCGGCGGCGGGGAGGUGGAAGUGUCUUUCCCGCUCAGGCAGCGGCUCAUCGUGAACCAAGCGCGCCACCUGCCGGCCACAUGCGGGAGUGCGUGGCCCCUGCGGAGGGCCGAGCGGACAAAGACUGCAGCGCGCAACCCGCACAAAGGAGGCUCUCUUAAAGGCCAUUCCUACUUGGCGGCAAAGAGGAAAUAAGCGACCAGCUCUCGGAACUUUCGACGAUGGAGUGGCUCGUUAAUUCGGCUUGUGCAGGGAUGAGGCGAGAGCCCAUUUCUC